UAACCUCUUUGGCGGCUACUUGGUGGGUUGUCUGGACGGAGAGGAACAACCUCAUCUUCCGCUCGAAGAGCCCCAACGCCACCCGUGCGCUAGAGCGUGUUGUCAUUCUCGCGAAGCUUUGGACGCAACCUGAAGCAUCACCCGACGCACAACACCACCUCUAAUCCUCUUUGCUUAAGUUUCUUGGUUUUCUGGUUUACUUGGAACUUUUUCGUCUUUUUCCUAUUUUUUUUAGGUUUUCUGUUCUUUCUUGCUGUUUAUCUCCUAACCCG
rnacentral:lncRNA from 1 species